rnacentral:piRNA from 1 species
CAGCAGCCUUAAACUCAAACGCUGAUA